UACGAAGGGGGCGAGCGUUGUUCGGAUUUACUGGGCGUAAAGGGCGCGUAGGCGGUACAGGAAGUCGAGUGUGAAAGCCCCGGGCUCAACCUGGGAAUGGCGCUCGAGACUCUUGUGCUUGAGUUCGGGAGAGGAGCGUGGAAUUCCCAGUGUAGAGGUGAAAUUCGUAGAUAUUGGGAAGAACACCGGUGGCGAAGGCGGCGCUCUGGACCGAGACUGACGCUGAGGCGCGAAAGCGUGGGGAGCAAACAGGAUUAGAUACCCUGGUAGUCCACGCGGUAAACGAUGUGUGCUAGACGUUGGGGAGCCUAGCUCUUCGGUGUCGCCGCAAACGCUUUAAGCACACCGCCUGGGGAGUACGGCCGCAAGGUUAAAACUCAAAG
rnacentral:rRNA from 1 species